GAUGAACGCUGGCGGCGUGCCUAACACAUGCAAGUCGAGCGUGAUUGAUGAGAGUGGAGACUUCGGUCGAAGCGAUCCUCAUGAAAGCGGCGGACGGGUGAGUAACGCGUGGGCAACCUGCCCCAUACAGGCGGAUAGCCACUGGAAACGGUGAUUAGUACGCCAUAAGACCACGACACCGCAUGGUGACGAGGCCAAAGAUUCAUCGGUAUGGGAUGGGCCCGCGUCUGAUUAGCUGGUUGGUGAGGUAACGGCUCACCAAGGCGACGAUCAGUAACCGACCUGAGAGGGCGGACGGUCACACUGGAACUGAGACACGGUCCAGACUCCUACGGGAGGCAGCAGUGGGGAAUAUUGCACAAUGGGCGCAAGCCUGAUGCAGCAACGCCGCGUGAGUGAAGAAGGCCUUCGGGUCGUAAAGCUCUGUCCUGUGGGACGAAACAAAUGACGGUACCACAGGAGGAAGCCCCGGCUAACUACGUGCCAGCCGCCGCGGUAAUAC
rnacentral:rRNA from 1 species